CCCUUAGAUGUUCGGGGCUGCACGCGCGCUACACUGAAGGAAUCAGCACGUCUUUCUCCUUGUCCGAAAGGACUGGGUAACCCGCUGAACCUCCUUCGUGCUAGGGAUUGGGGCUUGUAAUUCUUCCCCAUGAACGAGGAAUUCCCAGUAAGCGCGAGUCAUAAGCUCGCGUUGAUUACGUCCCUGCCCUUUGUACACACCGCCCGUCGCUACUACCGAUUGGAUGGUUUAGUGAGAUCCUCGGAUUGGUCCCGGAGCGGCCUCUGGUCGUGCCGGAGUGCCGAAAAGAAUGUCGAACUUGAUCAUCUAGAGGAAGUAAAAGUCGUAACA
rnacentral:rRNA from 1 species